CCCUGGUGUGGCUUCGGGGCCCCAGCUUCGGGUGCAAGGCGGUGUGGUGCGCCUCGGCCCCGCUCUCCGUACGCGAUUUUAUCCACCGACACUGCCAAGAUCAGACUUCUUCCAUCCCAAGGACCAUACUUUGUACUCAAGCAGUAAGGAGAGAAUUUCUGCAUCGUCACACCAGUGCCUCUGGAUGUUCCAGUGGAAUGCUACUUUGUGAAAUGCAAUGGAUCACUCGUUAACACCAGUGACACAGUGCAGCAUGGAGCUGUUUAUAGUUUGGAACCCAGACUUCGUGGUGGAAAAGGAGGUUUUGGCUCUAUGCUCCGAGCACUUGGUGCUCAGAUUGAGAAGACAACCAAUCGAGAAGCUUGCCGGGAUCUCAGUGGGAGGAGACUGCGAGAUGUCAAUCACGAGAAAGCAAUGGCUGAAUGGGUAAAACAACAAGCCGAGCGAGAAGCUGAAAAGGAGCAAAAGCGCCUGGAACGACUGCAGCGGAAGCUUGCAGAACCCAGGCCCUGCUUCACCAGCCCCGACUACCAGCAGCAGUGCCAUGAGAUGGCCGAGCGUCUGGAGGAUUCCGUCCUCCGAGGUAUGCAGGCUGCCUCCAGCAAGACGGUAUCAGCAGAAAUCUGUGAGAGUCGGAAACGGCCUAACAAAUCAAAAACAGACAGAGCAGCCAGUGCAGAGAAAAGGAAAUGCUUUUGGUUGGGCAUGGAAGGACUAGAGACUGCAGAAGGGUCUGGCUCUGAGAGCUCUGAUGAUGACAGUGCAGAAGCACCUAGUACUUCAGGAAUGAGCUUUCACGUUCCCAAAAAUGGCAGUGAUGGUGUUGAGAUGGCAGCCGAAUUUCCUAGUAGCUCUCAGCAGGCAAGAGUAUUGAGUGCAGACUCUAGAUCACGAGAAAAACUGCAGACCCCUGUGACGGACUCUGGGAAUGGUAUUUCAGAAGACUUGUAUGCUGAGCUGGGAGAGGCAUCUACCCAGGAGUACAUGGAAAGGGAGAUGGCUAUAGAAACAGAGAAAACCCAGGAGAAAAAUGAGGCAGAGAGUAAAGAACUCUUAGAAAAGGAAGCAGCUGGAGUUGGACUGAAUAAGGAGCAGGAGACCAAAGAAAUGACUGAUGGGGAAAGAGCUGCCAAGGGAGCACCUGGAGAAGAUAGGGAAAACAUACCUGUUGCCAAGCUGGAGGAAAGCCAGUCAGGAAGCACAGAUAUUGGUCAGGAAACUGUAGAUUUACUGGCGUUCAGCUCUGUCGCAGAAGUGGAGUUGCUGGGUUUGGAGAAGCUCAAGUGUGAACUCACAGCCCGGGGACUGAAGUGCGGGGGCACUCUCCAAGAGCGGGCGGCGAGGCUUUUCUCUGUCAGAGGACUGGCAAAGGAGCAGAUAGAUCCAGCUUUAUUUGCCAAGCCUUCGAAAGGGAAGAAGAAGUGAAUUUCAUCGGAGCUGAUUUCCUGUUUCUUUAUAGGCUAGCGCUUACAACCUGUUGACUCUUGGACAUUAUUCUUGUUGCUAUUAAAGGUCACUUUAGUGGGAACUGUGUGCACUGACGCUCCAGUUCGUACUCCUGCCCCUCACGGCCCUCACACCAGCCGGCAGAAGAGGCCUCUGACCAGAGCCGGCCUCCUGUCCCGAAACGCAGAGACACAAGAAAAUAUACCGUCUUCUCUUCCUUCUCUCUCAUCUCUGCAGAAAGGUUGUUGGAAGACAGAAAACGAACGCUUGCAAAUAGGAAAUGCCCAGCCCCAGGGCACACAGCUUUGAGAAUGCCGAGCUGGGGAUGAAGCCGAGGACUUUGAGGCCACGCUCUUUCCACCCCCCUCCGGCCUCUUCUGUUGACCCUCCCCGAGCCCAGCCUGAUGAGGUGGUGCUCCCUCCGCAGAGUGGCCUGGAGCGUCACUAAGCCAGGCCGACACAGCUUCGCCGGACACACCCACCAGAGGAGAAGAGCUUGGGACUGCACUUGCUCCCCUCUGCUGUCAAACAAAAGCCGGGAGUCAGGAGGAUGCUGAGCUCCUGAAGCAGACCCCACUGGAACACAACCCCGUGGACGGGGGUCUGAUGCAGUGUCCUGCGUGCUGAGACAGGCCGGGUUUAGAGACUUCCAGUCCGUGGCCAAGUCCGGAAUGACCUGGACGGCGCAUCUGUCCGCUCCUCUCACCCCCAUGGCCACUGCCUAGUCAGGCCACCACCCCGCCUACAGGCUGCCCUCAGCACUUUAGUCUUCGAAGUUCUCUCAGCUUCAUCUCUGAAGCCCCAACUCUGCUGUUCAUCCUCUACACAGCA